CGCUGGUCCCGCGGGAACCGGGCGGUGCCGGAGGCUCCUCGCGGCGGGCGUCACAGAGCGCGGCGGGCCCGCCCCGCGCCCCCGAGCCUGGCCAGCGGGCCCCCUCUCGGAUGGAAAGGGACGCGGGAAGAAAGUGACCUCCGGACCCUCGGCUGUGCCCUGCACCGCCCAGGUGUUAACUGCUGCCGCCUCCGCUGCUAACGAGGAAAGCCGCUUUGAUGGUCUUGUGAUGUUGUACCCAAACAGCAACUGUAAUAAUAAAUAUGGAGGCAGCUAAUAUAAAUAUGCUUAUAUCAGCAAAGUUCAGUUUAAACAGCCCUGUGGCCCAGGGGCUGGUAAACACGUGAGAAAGUCCUCUGACUACCGGUAAAUGAGAUGGGUAGUUCAAACAAUCUGAGAAAAAUGAUCUCCGUCCACUGUAUGGAAUGCAGCCCUUUUUCGUGUUUGAACUCGCAAGCACAUAGUAGGUGCGACAGAGCAGUGGCACCCCACAGAUGCCGGCCUGCUAAUCCCAAACCUGUGGGAACAUCAACCUAGGUUAACCCAGAAGCUGGAGAUUCCCCAUGGACAGAGGAGCCUGGUGGGCUACAGUCCAUAGGGUUGCCAAGAGUCCGACACCAAUGAAGCAACUUGUCAUGCACUGGAAACUUGACAAAGGGAAGAAAAAGGAUUCUCCCCUUGAAGCCUCCAGAAGAAAAGCAGCCCAGGUCACACUUUAAUUUUAGUUUUGACCUCCAGAACGAAUAAACAGGGAGUUCCCUGGUGGUUCAGUGACCAAGACUGCGUUCCCAAUUCAGGGGGCCCGGGUUCGAUCACCUGGUUGCAAGCUGGAUCCCAAAUGCCGUAGCUGGAGAUCCCAUGUACAGCAAUGAAGAUCCGGCCCAGCCAAAUAAAUAUUUUAAUAGUUAAAAAAAUAAAAUAAUAAAAUAUCCACUA
ensembl:lncRNA